rnacentral:rRNA from 1 species
GAUGUCUACAGACAGCAACAGAGGAAUUUUCGCAACGCGUAAUCUAUCGAACCACAGCGCAGAGGAUCACGCUUCGCUGAAAAAUAAGUCAUAGGAAGUCGAAUUCGUGUUAGAAAUUGAACCUAGACGCUCUUUAACUUCAAUUCGAGAGCUACACUCCUCUAUAGCAUGCAGUGUUAAUUCUAGUGGCAACUGUAGUGCGGAAGUAAAAGAACGCAAUUGCAGCGCAAGCGGUGAAAUAAGUUUGAAAUGAGAGCGCACGUCUCAGCGGGGGGGGGGUCAUUGGUGUGUGAGGUACUUGUGUGCCGACGAGAAAAGUGGGAAUAACCAGCUUACGUAGACAAUGAGUAGCGAUCUGGAGGAACACCAGUUUCGAAUGUUUGUUUAUGUUUUUCCACCUGACGGGGAGGCGCGAACUUUUGUCGAGCAAACAGGAGUAGAUACCCUGGUAGUCCACGCCCCAAGGGAUGAGUGGGGGAGUCCCAGAGGGUUUUGAAGCAUCAGUGUUGCAGUUAACGCCCUAAAAAAUCCGCCUGGGGAGUACGGUCGCAAGUCUGAAACUCAAGGGAAUUGACGGGGGCCCGCACAAGCGGUGGAGCAUGUGGUUUAAUUGGAAGCAACGCGAAGAACCUUACCAUGUCUUGACAUCCUCUGACAACUCUAGAGAUAGAGCGUUCCCCUUCGGGGGACAGAGUGACAGGUGGUGCAUGGUUGUCGUCAGCUCGUGUCGUGAGAUGUUGGGUUAAGUCCCGCAACGAGCGCAACCCUUGAUCUUAGUUGCCAGCAUUCAGUUGGGCACUCUAAGGUGACUGCCGGUGACAAACCGGAGGAAGGUGGGGAUGACGUCAAAUCAUCAUGCCCCUUAUGACCUGGGCUACACACGUGCUACAAUGGAUGGUACAAAGGGGUGCAAGACCGCGAGGUCAAGCCAAUCCCAUAAAACCAUUCUCAGUCCGGAUUGUAGGCUGCAACUCGCCUACAUGAAGCUGGAAUCGCUAGUAAUCGCGGAUCAGCAUGCCGCGGUGAAUACGUUCCCGGGCCUUGUACACACCGCCCGUCCCGCCACGAGAGUUUGUAACACCCGAAGUCGGUGGAGUAACCGUAAGGAGCUAGCCGCCUAAGUGACAGAAUCAAAAAAAAAAACCAAAGCCA